UGGUUAUGACCAAGGCUUUUAGGACGCAGUUUCUAAUUCACCAGUGACACAGCCUUUAAAAUUCCACCCCCUAGGUUUUCUAUUACCUUUCUAGCAACCAGCCUAUGGAAAUAUUU
ensembl:snoRNA